CUACGGGGUGCACCAGUCGAGAAUCUUCCGCAAUGGACGAAAGUCUGACGGAGCGACGCCGCGUGCGGGAUGAAGGCCUUCGGGUUGUAAACCGCUGUCAGUGGGGAGGAAAUGCAUCAGGGUUCUCCCUGGUGUUUGACCGAUCCGCAGAGGAAGCGCAGGCUAAGUUCGUGCCAGCAGCCGCGGUAACACGAACUGCGCGAACGUUAUUCGGAAUCACUGGGCUUAAAGAGUUCGUAGGCGGCCUUUCAAGUCGGGUGUGAAAUCCCUCGGCUCAACCGAGGAAUUGCGCCUGAUACUGUUGGGCUUGAGGGGGAUAGGGGUGAGCGGAACUGAUGGUGGAGCGGUGAAAUGCGUUGAUAUCAUCAGGAACACCGGUGGCGAAGGCGGCUCACUGGAUCUCUUCUGACGCUGAGGAACGAAAGCUAGGGGAGCGAACGGGAUUAGAUACCCGGGUAGUC
rnacentral:rRNA from 1 species